AGCGAACGCUGGCGGCAGGCCUAACACAUGCAAGUCGAACGGACCCUUCGGGGUUAGUGGCGGACGGGUGAGUAACACGUGGGAACGUGCCUUUAGGUUCGGAAUAGCUCCUGGAAACGGGUGGUAAUGCCGAAUGUGCCCUUAGGGGGAAAGAUUUAUCGCCUUUAGAGCGGCCCGCGUCUGAUUAGCUAGUUGGUGAGGUAAUGGCUCACCAAGGCUACGAUCAGUAGCUGGUCUGAGAGGAUGACCAGCCACAUUGGGACUGAGACACGGCCCAAACUCCUACGGGAGGCAGCAGUGGGGAAUCUUGCGCAAUGGGCGAAAGCCUGACGCAGCCAUGCCGCGUGGAUGAUGAAGGUCUUAGGAUUGUAAAAUCCUUUCAUCGGUGAAGAUAAUGACUGUAGCCGGAGAAGAAGCCCCGGCUAACUUCGUGCCAGCCGCCGCAGUAAAAC
rnacentral:rRNA from 1 species